rnacentral:rRNA from 1 species
GACGAACGCUGGCGGCGUGCUUAACACAUGCAAGUCGAGCGGUAAGGCCCUUUCGGGGGUACACGAGCGGCGAACGGGUGAGUAACACGUGGGUGACCUGCCCUCAGCUCUGGGAUAAGCCUGGGAAACCGGGUCUAAUACUGGAUAUGACUCCAUGACGCAUGUUGUGGGGUGGAAAGCCUUGUGCGGCUGAGGAUGGGCCCGCGGCCUAUCAGCUUGUUGGUGGGGUGAUGGCCUACCAAGGCGACGACGGGUAGCUGGCCUGAGAGGGGCGACCGGCCACACUGGGACUGAGACACGGCCCAGACUCCUACGGGAGGCAGCAGUGGGGAAUCUUGCGCAAUGGGCGAAAGCCUGACGCAGCGACGCCGCGUGAGGGAUGACGGCCUGGUGUAAC